rnacentral:rRNA from 1 species
CGUCAAAUCAUCAUGCCCCUUAUGACCUGGGCUACACACGUGCUACAAUGGGCAGAACAAAGGGCAGCGAAGCCGCGAGGCUAAGCCAAUCCCACAAAUCUGUUCUCAGUUCGGAUCGCAGUCUGCAACUCGACUGCGUGAAGCUGGAAUCGCUAGUAAUCGCGGAUCAGCAUGCCGCGGUGAAUACGUUCCCGGGCCUUGUACACACCGCCCGUCACACCA